UAGGGAAUCUUCGGCAAUGGACGAAAGUCUGACCGAGCAACGCCGCGUGAGUGAAGAAGGUUUUCGGAUCGUAAAACUCUGUUGUUAGAGAAGAACAAGGACGUUAGUAACUGAACGUCCCCUGACGGUAUCUAACCAGAAAGCCACGGCUAACUACGUGCCAGCAGCCGCGGUAAUACGUAGGUGGCAAGCGUUGUCCGGAUUUAUUGGGCGUAAAGCGAGCGCAGGCGGUUUCUUAAGUCUGAUGUGAAAGCCCCCGGCUCAACCGGGGAGGGUCAUUAGAAACUGGGAGACUUGAGUGCAGAAGAGGAGGUUGGAUUUCCAUGUGUAUCGAUGAAUUGCGUAGAUAUAUGGGGGAACACCAGGGGCGAAGGCGGCUCUCUGGUCUGUAACUGACGCUGAGGCUCGAAAGCGUGGGGAGCAAACAGG
rnacentral:rRNA from 1 species